rnacentral:rRNA from 1 species
CGGGGUGAGUAACGCGUGAGCAAUCUGCCUUUAAGAGGGGGAGUAACAGUCGGAAACGGCUGCUAAUACCGCAUAAAGCAUCAAAUUCGCAUGUUUUUGAUGCCAAAGGAGCAAUCCGCUUUUUAGAUGAGCUCGCGUCUGAUUAGCUGGUUGGCGGGGUAACGGCCCACCAAGGCGACGAUCAGUAGCCGGCCUGAGAGGGUGAACGGCCACAUUGGGACUGAGACACGGCCCAA